rnacentral:rRNA from 1 species
AUUGAACGCUGGCGGAAUGCUUUACACAUGCAAGUCGAACGGCAGCACGGAGAGCUUGCUCUCUGGUGGCGAGUGGCGAACGGGUAAGUAAUAUAUCGGAACGUGUCCAAUAAUGGGGGAUAACGAGUCGAAAGAUUCGCUAAUACCGCAUACGCCCUACGGGGGAAAGCAGGGGAUCGUAAGACCUUGCGUUAAUGGAGCGGCCGAUAUCUGAUUAGCUAGUUGGUGAGGUAAAGGCUCACCAAGGCGACGAUCAGUAGCUGGUUUGAGAGAACGACCAGCCACACUGGAACUGAGACACGGUCCAGACUCCUACGGGAGGCAGCAGUGGGGAAUUUUGGACAAUGGGGGCAACCCUGAUCCAGCCAUUCCGCGUGAGUGAAGAAGGCCUUCGGGUUGUAAAGCUCUUUCGCAAGGGAAGAAAACUUAUGAUCGAAUAAAUCAUGAGGUUGACGGUACCUUGAUAAGAAGCACCGGCUAACUACGUGCCAGCCGCCGCCGUAA